rnacentral:lncRNA from 10 species
AAAUAAAUAGAUUUUAUAAAAUUUUUUUAAAAAGUGAGACAAUAGUCAUGAGUAACAAGGGGGUAAGUUUCCUAGAGCCACAAAUUUCAUGGCUUAAAACAACAUCAAUUUAUUCUCUUACAGUUCUGGAGGCCAGAAAUUUGAAAUGAGUCUUAUGGAGCUGAAAUCAAGCACAAACCAAAGCUGGGCUUCAUCUGGAUGCUCUAUGAAAGAUUCCUUUGCUCGCCUCUUCCAAUUCCUGGUGGUUGCUGGCAUUCCUUGCAUUGUAGACUCGUCAUCCCAACGUCUUCCUCCUUGGCCCCAUUGCCUUCUCCUCUCCUGUGUGGGCAUCAUCAACUCUCCCUUUCCCUCCCUCUUAAAAGGAUAUGAAUGUGACUGCUUUAGGACCUACCUGGAUAAUUCAGAAUAAUCUCCCCAUCUCAAGACCCUUAACAUAAUCACAUAUGCAAAGAACUUCUCUUUUCUUUAAUCAUAUGAGUUAACAUGUACAAAUUUCAGAGAUGAGAACAUGGAUAUCUUUAGGGUGCCAUUUUUUCAGUCCAUUGGAAAUGGUAGAUGUGGAAGAAGAGGAGCUAAAAUUCAAUCAGACUAGGGGUCUGCAAUCUGUAGCCUGCAAGUCAGUGCCUGUUUUUGUAAAUAAAGUUUUAUUGGAGCACA